GACCGCGACCCCAGGUCAGACGGGACUACCCGCUGAGUUUAAG
rnacentral:rRNA from 1 species